GAUGAACGCUGGCGGCGUGCCUAAUACAUGCAAGUCGAGCGAACGGACGAGAAGCUUGCUUCUCUGAUGUUAGCGGCGGACGGGUGAGUAACACGUGGAUAACCUACCUAUAAGACUGGGAUAACUUCGGGAAACCGGAGCUAAUACCGGAUAAUAUUUUGAACCGCAUGGUUCAAAAGUGAAAGACGGUCUUGCUGUCACUUAUAGAUGGAUCCGCGCUGCAUUAGCUAGUUGGUAAGGUAACGGCUUACCAAGGCAACGAUGCAUAGCCGACCUGAGAGAGUGAUCGGCCACACUGGAACUGAGACACGGUCCAGACUCCUACGGGAGGCAGCAGUAGGGAAUCUUCCGCAAUGGGCGAAAGCCUGACGGAGCAACGCCGCGUGAGUGAUGAAGGUCUUCGGAUCGUAAAACUCUGUUAUUAGGGAAGAACAUAUGUGUAAGUAACUGUGCACAUCUUGACGGUACCUAAUCAGAAAGCCACGGCUAACUACGUGCCAGCAGCCGCGGGUAUACGUAGGUGGCAAGCGUUAUCCGGAAUUAUUGGGCGUAANGCGCGCGUAGCGGUUUUUUAAGUCUGAUGUGAAAGCCCACGGCUCAACCGUGGAGGGUCAUUGGAAACUGGAAAACUUGAGUGCAGAAGAGGAAAGUGGAAUUCCAUGUGUAGCGGUGAAAUGCGCAGAGAUAUGGAGGAACACCAGUGGCGAAGGCGACUUUCUGGUCUGUAACUGACGCUGAUGUGCGAAAGCGUGGGGAUCAAACAGGAUUAGAUACCCUGGUAGUCCACGCCGUAAACGAUGAGUGCUAAGUGUUAGGGGGUUUCCGCCCCUUAGUGCUGCAGCUAACGCAUUAAGCACUCCGCCUGGGGAGUACGACCGCAAGGUUGAAACUCAAAGGAAUUGACGGGGACCCGCACAAGCGGUGGAGCAUGUGGUUUAAUUCGAAGCAACGCGAAGAACCUUACCAAAUCUUGACAUCCUUUGACAACUCUAGAGAUAGAGCCUUCCCCUUCGGGGGACAAAGUGACAGGUGGUGCAUGGUUGUCGUCGGCUCGUGUCAUGAGAUGUUGGGUUAAGUCCCGCAACGAGCGCAACCCUUAAGCUUAGUUGCCAUCAUUAAGUUGGGCACUCUAAGUUGACUGCCGGUGACAAACCGGAGGAAGGUGGGGAUGACGUCAAAUCAUCAUGCCCCUUAUGAUUUGGGCUACACACGUGCUACAAUGGACAAUACAAAGGGCAGCGAAACCGCGAGGUCAAGCAAAUCCCAUAAAGUUGUUCUCAGUUCGGAUUGUAGUCUGCAACUCGACUACAUGAAGCUGGAAUCGCUAGUAAUCGUAGAUCAGCAUGCUACGGUGAAUACGUUCCCGGGUCU
rnacentral:rRNA from 1 species